AAACGGGUGGCGUCAAGCUGCACGCCCAGAGGAUUCAGCCGGUUAGAGUGUAUCUAUGCGCUUGCGUAUAAAUGGGCCAGAGUAAGGCGUGGUAGUCCGCUGGUAGACAGCGGGCCCUGCCGCAAGGUGGGGAUGUGCAAGCCGGGUGGAUGCCGGAGCACGCUAUCCGUCUGUGGGGCCGUCUAGCCGGUGCACUUUCUCUGUGGUGGACACCACGACCGGUGGAACUGCCAGUCUGCUGUGGCCAAGUCGUGUUCGGUUCGUCCUUGUGGCGAACUGGGCGCGAUCACGGGCAACCUUGGUGAACGGCGUUGAUGUGCCCUCGGGUAUGUCUUCGUGUUAUCGGUAGCCAGUUGUCUUAACGGGCCUGCCUUGCGAUUGUUCUAGCCGUCGUAGGGUGGUCUGGUGGGCCAUGGUGGUAAGAAUAACUGUGCAGGGCACCGGAGUGUUCAGCCUCAAAUGCAGCCAGCAUGCACGCUAGUAGUGUUGCGAUGUGGGUGCUCUCGUGGUCUGCCUGGUGCCGGGUCUGAUUGUCGUGUUGCCUGCGCAAAGUGGGUUCGGCAGUGGCUCGGUUCAGGGUGGGCUUGCGUUGGGUGCUUGCAGUGUUGGUUGUAGUGGGCCUGAUAGUCUGUGGUGUAGUGGUAGACGAGCUACCCGACCCGUCUUGAAACACGGACCAAGGAGUUUAACAUGUAUGCAAGUCACUGGGUCCUACGAAACCCAAAGGCGCAAUGAAAGUAAAGCCUCGGAUCAUUCGUGGUCCGGGGUGAGGUGAGAUCCCGCCGUGUCUCCGCCAGCCUAUUCGGUCAGAAGCAGGCAUACCGCGCGGUGGGCGCAUCACCGGCCCGUCCCA
rnacentral:rRNA from 2 species